rnacentral:rRNA from 1 species
GACGAACGCUGGCGGCAUGCUUAACACAUGCAAGUCGAACGGAAAGGCCCUGCUUUUGUGGGGUGCUCGAGUGGCGAACGGGUGAGUAACACGUGAGUAACCUGCCCUUGACUUUGGGAUAACUUCAGGAAACUGGGGCUAAUACCGGAUAGGAGCUCCUGCUGCAUGGUGGGGGUUGGAAAGUUUCGGCGGUUGGGGAUGGACUCGCGGCUUAUCAGCUUGUUGGUGGGGUAGUGGCUUACCAAGGCUUUGACGGGUAGCCGGCCUGAGAGGGUGACCGGCCACAUUGGGACUGAGAUACGGCCCAGACUCCUACGGGAGGCGGCAGUGGGGAAUAUUGCACAAUGGGCGGAAGCCUGAUGCAGCAACGCCGCGUGCGGGAUGACGGCCUUCGGGUUGUAAACCGCUUUCGCCUGUGACGAAGCGUGAGUGACGGUAAUGGGUAAAGAAGCACCGGCUAACUACGUG